rnacentral:lncRNA from 1 species
AAAGGGGAGAAAUACCCUUACAUCUCCCUACUUUCCACCUUCCAACCUGCCACUAGAGCCCUUCAAAGCUGGAUGACAAAGGAGACUGGGAAUCGGAGAUUGUAGGCACUAGCCCUCUGCAGUCUAAGGCAGCGUAGGGGAAGGAGGAGAUCUGCGAGCAGUAGAGCAAAUGACUGGCAUGCUGGGUAGCCAAAAGCUGACUUAAUCAGAACGGUAAGACAUCAGACCUGGAACUUGAGGAUCACCUCAUCUAUGCUUUCAUUUUUAGUGAACAGGAAACAGACCCUGGAAGAAAUAAUGUGCCACACAGCAGAGUUGAGGCUAGAACCCAUAUCGUCUUCUUUUCCUCUUCAGUCUUAAAAAAAAAAAAAAUUAUUGGGAGUUCCCACCGUGGUUCAGUGGGUUAAGAAUCCAACUGCAAUGGCUGAGGUUGCUGUGGAGGUGCAGGUUGAAUCCCUGGCCUGGUGCAGUAGGUUAAAGGAUCCAGUUCUGCCACAGCUGUGGCUCGGAUUUGAUGCCUGGCCUGGGAACUUCCAUGUGUCUCAGUGCACAUACAACCCAGAUCUUCUAUCUCAAAGAGUACUGUUCUGGAGUUCCUGUUGUGGCACAGUGGUUAACGAAUCCGACUAGGAACCAUGAGGUUGCGGGUUCCAUCCCUGGCCUUGCUCAGUGGUUUAAGGAUCCGGUGUUGCCGUGAGCUGUGGUGUAGGUCGCAGAUGUGGCUCGGAUCCCACAUUGCUGUGGCUCUGGCAUAGGCCGGUGGCUACAGCUCCGAUUCAACCCCUAGCCUGGGAACCUCCAUAUGCCACAGGAGUGGCCCUAGAAAAGGCAAAAAGACCCCCCCCCAAAAAAAGGAGUACUGUUCUGUCUUGUACCCUAGGGGUCUUUGUAUUUGUGCAGAACUGUUCCCUUGAGUGGGGACUGGGGGUGCGGCCUCCUACCUCUGCCUGUGCCAUUGCUGCCACUCAAGAACUUUGCAGGUGACCCAGGGCCUUGGCCUCUUUUUACUUGCCAGUGCCACUGUAGAAGGACACUUAGAGGACCGGGCAGUACAGAGUGCUUUCCUGGGUUCAAGCCAGAUGAAGAGGCUAAGAGGGGACAGACCUUUUCUCUAGGUCAGCAGACAACUGCUAUGACUCCCUGAGCUUUUGCUAAAUUGUCCUGUAUCCUUGAGCAGUGGCCUCAGGCAGCAUGACUUGGCCACCAGAACUCACUGGCAGGUCAUGGGGUUGGUGAUAUACCGUGUCUUGCAGCUCUGGCUCCUCAAGCAGGACCCAUGAUGCAUGAUCUAGUUCUGCGGUCUUAGUUUCAGGAAGACUUUAGGGGCCCCUUCUUUAAGAGCUGGUAUGAGCCAUUGAUGUUGGUUGCCUUCUGGAACUGGUUGGUCUUACAAUUGCCUUAUUCACUCUUUGGUUUCUCUUGGCGCUUAAUUCAGACAUUUGGAGAACACAUAUUCUCUGCUUCAAGCAGAAUAAUAAUCCACAUUUGUUAGAGUUCCCAUUGUGGCUCAGUGGUAACGAACCUGACUAGUGUCCAUGAAGAUGAGGGUUUGAUUCCUGGUCCCACUCAGUGGGUUAAGGAUCCGGUGUUUCCAUGAGCUGCAGUGUAGUGUAGGUCGCAGACAUGGUUUGGAUCCUUUGCUGCUGUGGCUGUGGCAUAGGUCAGCAGCUGCAGCUCCGACUUGACCCUAAGCUUGGGAACAUCCAUAUGCUGCACUUGCAGCCCCCUGCCCAACAACAACAACAAAAAUCCACAUUCGCUUGGAUUGCCAAUUGGAUUCCACCCCAUCUACCUCUGUAAUAGUAUUUGUAUUCCAGAUGAAUGUACUACACAUGGGAAUUGGUUUUUAAAGUGUGGAGGCAGCAACUCCCCUUGUUUCUGCCUGGAAAGCUGCGAUAAUUGGCCUUCUGGUAGAAGAUAGGCAUCUGUCAAAGCCCUCGAAGCUAGAGAAGUAUUCCAGCAGCUGGUGACCUUAUUUCCCUUACCAAGAUCCCUGCUUGCUCACCUGGCCUCAUCCAAUCAGGGCUGACAUCCCCGGCCUGGCUGUGGGAUUGCCUAAGAGCCUCCUACCUCUUCGCUUGCCAGCUGGUGCUUGUUUGUAUGAGACACUGGCCCCAGCAGAGGGGUGCUAGGAGGCAUUCAACCUCUGCUAUCUUCAACACAGGACUUCCAAAGUCUUCCUGGGUGCUGACAUCCCACUGCUAGAUGUGAGAAGAAUGAAGCAAGUUGUACUUGAGUUUCCAAGUACAAUGGUUUUGGUUUUUUUCCUUUUGUUGAUUGCCUUGGAAGGAUGGAAUAUAUUUAAAUGAAGAUUAGGCUCUUCUUGGCCAUGAAUAAAGGACAAGAGGUUUUUGGUACACAUUGAUUUACACUCUGGGUUUAACGGGUCAUCCAAGGCAAACGUGAAAGCACAAAAGGAGGAGGGGAGUGUAUAGGGAAUAUGGGGGGAGGGCACAGUUGGCAGCCACAAGAUUUCUGGCUGUGGCCAUUAGGGCAUCUCCAUCUUUUUUUUUUUUUUUUUUUUUUUUUUUUUGGUCUUUUUAGGGCCGCACCCAAGGCACAUGGAAGUUCCCAGGCUAGGGGUCGAAUCGGAACUGUAGCUGCUGGCCUACACCUCAGCCACAGCAACACAGGAUCCAAGCUGCGUCUGCGACCUAUACCACAGCUUACGGCAAUGCCAGAUCCUUAACCCACUGAGCGAGGCCAGGGAUUGAACCCAUGUCCUCACGGGUCCUAGUCGGAUUCAUUAACUGCUGAGUCAUGACAGGAACUGCUAGUAUGUCUCCAGCUUUUGAAGGACACUGGAUCAAGUCCCUUUUCAAGUCCCUUCAAAACCAUGUCAACCAAUUCUUUGCCUGUUAUUCAAGACUGAUGGCUUAGGAAGCAUGUGGUCUAGUUCCUAGAAAGAAAACCUGACCCACCCACCUCUCCACCACUGCUGAACUUGUGUCCAACUCUCUGACCCUGUUCCUUGCCACAAAAUGUUCAUUUUCUCUGAACCCCCAGCCCCUGUCCCAGAUCCUGGAAUCUUAGUUGAGGCCCGAACUUGAAUUCUUCACUUGUCAGGAUGAGGGUUUGGACACAGACUCAUCCCUCCUCUGCCAAUUCUCCUUUCAAACCGAGGCAUAAGAUUUUUUUUUUUUAAUUAAAAAGACCCCAAAACCUGAGGCUGUGGCUGCUAGUUACCUACCGAAAUUAUUUCCCUUUCUUCUACAACAUAUGGUCAGACCAUAUUUUCUAGCCCAUCUCCCUUGAAGUUUGAUGGGGUCUUGUGACUGCGGAAACACUUUGAGGUUUGGCCCCCAAAACCUUCCUUGGGAUUUUCUCUUCUCUCAUCUGACAACAGGAUGCCACUACCUGGGAUUACAUUGGAAAUCUCUUGUUGAAGAGGACAGGCCUUUUGUCAGCUGGAUUUCUGAAUGAUUCCUAGAUACCAAAAACUAGACUUCAUGAGUGAAAAGUGCAUUCUAUUUCAGAUACAGGUUAGACUACGAAGGUGUAAAGGUUUAUCUGUUUCAGAGUUUGGCAUUACCAUAUCUAAUAAUAAAAUCCUUUAUGAUAUGUG